rnacentral:lncRNA from 10 species
CCUGGUUGUUAGACAAGAACCCGGAUUUUAGUUGAACUCUGGAGCAAAAAUCCUGCAUCAUUUGUAGUUCUUUUACAGGAAGCUUUUGUUACGUGUUGUCAGCACAUUGCUGUGAUGCUCAAGUAUAGCUCUUUAAUGUGAAAACCUGGUAUUUGGGCAUGGCUUGAAGCAGGUGAGAGAGUAACCCAUGCAGAUAUUAGAGGAAAGGAACAAGAGUAGCUGGAAAGAUCCAGAGUUAGGAAGCUUCCUGGUGCCCUCCAGGAGUGGCAAGCUGGUCACUGUGGCAUGAGAAAAUUGAGUUAGGGAAAAAGAAGCAGAUUAGGUCAAAGAGGUGAAAUGGGAGGGAGGUCAUGUAGAUGUUGUAGGCUACUGUGAUGAGUUUGACUUUUACUCUGGAAGACAGGAAGACAACCAUAAAAUUUGGGCCAUUAGAGUGAAAUAAUUUGUCUUUAUUUUAAAAGGAUCACUUUGCCUCCUCUGUUGGAAUAGAAUGUGUAUGUACUGGAGAGUGGUGGUGGAUAGACAGCUAUAAUGGAAGCUGGGAGACAAAUUAGAAAGCAACUGUUUUCUCCCAAAUUCAUUCCCUGCCCUUCCUCUAAUUACAUCUAUAUCUUAGAGGUCUAAUCCUUAAAAAAUAUAUUUCCCAGAUUCCCUUGCUAAUUGGUUUCAAACUAAAUUUAGUCAAAAAGAAGCAUUGUCAUGAAGUUCAGGGCACCAAGAAGGGACAAGCUGGGGCAUUGCUCUCUCUCUCUGAUUGCUUUGGGUUGUGCCUGUGGCAACUGCCACAUGUGCCCCAUGGCCAGUCCCUGCU